rfam:Bacteroides oleiciplenus YIT 12058 genomic scaffold supercont1.6, whole genome shotgun sequence.
UUGAGCCGUAUGAGGGGAAACUCUCACGUACGGUUCUUAGGGGAGAAGGGGGCAGUAAUGCCCUUGACUUACCCGAU